rnacentral:rRNA from 1 species
GACGAACGCUGGCGGCGUGCUUAACACAUGCAAGUCGAACGGAAAGGCCCUGCUUUUGUGGGGUGCUCGAGUGGCGAACGGGUGAGUAACACGUGAGUAACCUGCCCUUGACUUUGGGAUAACUUCGGGAAACUGGGGCUAAUACCGGAUAGGAGCUCCUGCUGCAUGGUGGGGGUUGGAAAGUUUCGGCGGUUGGGGAUGGACUCGCGGCUUAUCAGCUUGUUGGUGGGGUAGUGGCUUACCAAGGCUUUGACGGGUAGCCGGCCUGAGAGGGUGACCGGCCACAUUGGGACUGAGAUACGGCCCAGACUCCUACGGGAGGCAGCAGUGGGGAAUAUUGCACAAUGGGCGGAAGCCUGAUGCAGAAACGCCGCGUGCGGGAUGACGGCCUUCGGGUUGUAAACCGCUUUCGCCUGUGACGAAGCGUGAGUGACGGUAAUGGGUAAAGAAGCACCGGCUAACUACGU